CCUACGGGAGGCAGCAGUGAGGAAUAUUGGUCAAUGGGCGUAAGCCUGAACCAGCCAAGUAGCGUGAGGGAUGACUGCCCUACGGGUUGUAAACUUCUUUUAUAAGGGAAUAAAGUGAGGCACGUGUGCCGUUUUGUAUGUACCUUAUGAAUAAGGAUCGGCUAACUCCGUGCCAGCAGCCGCGGUAAUACGGAGGAUCCGAGCGUUAUCCGGAUUUAUUGGGUUUAAAGGGUGCGUAGAUGGGUUGUUAAGUCAGUGGUGAAAGUUUGCGGCUCAACCGUAAAAUUGCAAUUGAAACUGGCAGCCUUGAGUACAGUUGAGGUAGGCGGAAUGCGUGGUGUAGCGGUGAAAUGCUUAGAUAUCACGAAGAACUCCGAUUGCGAAGGCAGCCUACUAAACCGUCACUGACACUGAUGCUCGAAAGUGUGGGGAUCAAACAGGAUUAGAUACCCGGGUAGUC
rnacentral:rRNA from 1 species